CGGCUUACCAGGUGAUGAAAGAGGGAAGCUAUUAUCCCGGAACAGAUCAGAAUGCCGAGGGAAGCGCGGUAUUUAUUAAUAACAAGACAGGCGGUGUAGAAGCGGCCAUCGGCGGA
rnacentral:rRNA from 1 species